rnacentral:rRNA from 1 species
UACGAAGGGGGCGAGCGUUGUUCGGAUUUACUGGGCGUAAAGGGCGCGCAGGCGGCUUUGUUUGUCAGGCGUGAAAGCCCCGGGCUUAACCUGGGAACUGCGUUUGAUACGGCAGGGCUAGAGUUCGGGAGAGGAGAGUGGAAUUCCCAGUGUAGAGGUGAAAUUCGUAGAUAUUGGGAAGAACACCGGUGGCGAAGGCGGCUCUCUGGACCGAUACUGACGCUGAGGCGCGGAAAGCGUGGGGAGCAAACAGG